UCAGGAUGAACGCUAGCUACAGGCCUAACACAUGCAAGUCGAGGGAAACGGCAGCUUAGCUUGCUAAGCUGGACGUCGACCGGCGCACGGGUGAGUAACGCGUAUCCAACUUCCCAUAGCCAGGGAAUAACCUUGCGAAAGUAAGACUAAUGUCCUAUGUUGUUCUUUGCGGACAUCUAAAGAGAACGAAAGAUUUAUCGGCUAUGGAUGGGGAUGCGUCUGAUUAGGUUGUUGGCGGGGUAACGGCCACCAAGCCUACGAUCAGUAGGGUUCUGAGAGGAAGGUCCCCCCACAUUGGAACUGAGACACGGUCCAAACUCCUACGGGAGGCAGCAGUGAGGAAUAUUGGUCAAUGGACGGAAGUCUGAACCAGCCAAGUAGCGUGCAGGACGACGGCCCUAUGGGUUGUAAACUGCUUUUAUGUGGGAAUAAAGUCAGGGACGUGUCCCUGUUUGCAUGUACCACAGGAAUAAGGACCGGCUAAUUCCGUG
rnacentral:rRNA from 1 species